rnacentral:rRNA from 1 species
UACGGGGGGGGCAAGCGGUUGUUCGGAAUCACUGGGCGUAAAGGGUGCGUAGGCGGGUCUUUUAAGUCAGGGGUGAAAUCCUGGAGCUCAACUCCAGAACUGCCUUUGAUACUGAAGAUCUUUGAGUCCGGGAGAGGUGAGUGGAACUGCGAGUGUAGAGGUGAAAUUCGUAGAUAUUCGCAAGAACACCAGUGGCGAAGGCGGCUCACUGGCCCGGUACUGACGCUGAGGUGCGAAAGCGUGGGGAGCAAACAGG